rnacentral:SRP_RNA from 1 species
ACAUGGGUAAGUCUUGCACGGUCAGCUCCCUCGGAAUCCUCCAGGGCGGGAACGCAGCAAAGGUACUUGGUUGUAGCGGCGCGAUGCAAACAGCUUACCCACC